rnacentral:rRNA from 1 species
CCCUUAGAUGUUCUGGGCUGCACGCGUGCUACACUGAUAUUGCCAAUAUGUCAUUCUUAUCCGAAAUGGAUUGGGUAAUCAAGUAAUGAAAUUUCAUGCUUGGAAUCGGUAAUUGCAAUUUUAUCGUGAACGAGGAAUUCCUAGUAAGCACUAGUCAUCAGCUAAUGUUGAUUAUGUCCCUGCCCUUUGUACACACCGCCCGUCGCUACUACUGAUUGGGUGUUCAAGUGAGAUGCUUAGACCCUUGUUGCAUGGUUCAUUAUUGUGCUCCGAAAGGAAAAAGUUUCAAGCUUGAGUGUCUGGAGGAAGUAAAAGUCGUAACA